GCGCCCUUACUGCUGGGUGGGCUGAGCGGCUCGCCUGCAAGCCCAGCUGAUCCGAGGCUCAGCCAUGUCAACUCCAGAUUCAAGCAGUCCUGGGCAGCCAGCUCCUUUUCCUUCUGCCCCACGGCCGCCACCACCAAUUCUACCCCCUCCAUUUAUGCCUCCUCCUGGGAUCCCACCACCAUUUCCACCCAUGGGAUUGCCCCCAAUGGGACCACGGCCACCUCCUAUGCCUCCUAUGCCCCCUGGCAUGAUGCCACCUCCCCCUAUGAUUCCACCUAUGCCUGGACCACCGCCCCUGGGUCAGGUAGUGCUGGUUCAUGUUUUUCUUUGCCUUUUGUUCUCCAGUUUGCAAUAAGUAUAAUGGCUUGGUCUUUUCUUUUGUCUCCAGAUGCCCACAAUGGUGCCACCGAUGCUGCCUGGGAUGAUCAUGCCAGGGGUCCCAGCUGGGCCUGUUCCUGUUUCUGGAGGAGGAGUGAGUGUCAGAAAGGACAGUGAUUCGGGGAAUUAGAAUAGGGUGUGGCACAAGAGCUUGCAUAUAUACUUCAAUGGCUUUCAUAACAGGGCUGCCUCUUUCAUUUGGGAACAGAUAUAUGAUGCUCUUUAACCACUUGGUUGACC
rnacentral:lncRNA from 1 species